AGUGAACGCUGGCGGCAUGCCUAACACAUGCAAGUCGAGCGGCAGCACAGGAAGAGCUUGCCCUUACGGUUGGCGGGGGACGGACGGGUGAGAAAUACAUCAGAUUCUACUUUGUCUUGGGGGACUACGUAGAGCCAGUGACGCUAAUGGCGCAUAUUUUCAACCGGUUGAAUCAAAAGUGCUUGGGACUCUUCGCGUCUCAAUUAGACGAUGUCGGAUUAGCUAGUUGGCUGGGUAAAGGCCCACCAAGGCAACGAUGCGUAGCUGGUCUGAGAGGAUGAUCGGCCACACUGGAACUGAGACACGGUCCAGACUCCUACGGGAGGCAGCAGUAGGGAAUCUUCCACAAUGGGCGCAAGCCUGAUCCAGCAAUGCCGCGUGAGUGAAGAAGGUCUUCGGGUCGUAAAGCCCUUUUGUUAGGGAAGAAAAGAUGUAUAUGUAACCGUCGAUGUCCUGACGGUACCCAAAGAGAAAGCACCGGCUAACUACGUG
rnacentral:rRNA from 1 species